rnacentral:sRNA from 1 species
CUUAUCAUAUUUUUUCACGCUGCACCUAUUGAUUUAUGCAUUCGACUCGUACUUGGGUUCGUGUGCUGCACUCUUUUUUAUUGGAUGUUCGAGGAUCCGCGCCGGUUAUUGGCUUUUGCGCCGGCCGCUUCUAUUUAUAAAGAUUACGUGUAAUUAAAAUCGGUUCCCCAGCAUCCUCCGCUGCACAUCUCGUUACGCUUGUCACCCUCCCGUUACUUGCGAAAUAAAGCGGAUCGAAGUUAAGUUGCAGUUGCAAUCGAGGAUCGAGGAAAUCUGGUUCCAGCAAAACUUGACUGGGUGGCGCAGCAGGAAAUAUUGAUUGCAUUAUAAUGGACAUGAUAUGUGGCCAGGGAGGAUUCCACCCGGUUAACUGCGCUUGACAGGUAAAAUUUGAGUUAUACAUAAUAGAGAAGCCACCCAGAACUCAAAUUGUAUUAUACCAUAUAACAAAGUAAGGAAAGGUUUAUUAAUCUUAAAAGAUAUGUUCCUUAUCAUGCAUGCCACAAGUUUCAUAUGCUAAAGAAUCCCUUUAGAAAUUUGAUACGAUUGAUAGGGAUUGAUCUGCGUAACUGUUCGUUUCACUCCAUUAAAAACCGAAACAGUUCUCUCGAUUCGGACCGAUCAGGGUAAUUAGAUGUGCUCAUUAUCUCGACAGCAGAUAAUGGACUGGCAGGGGUCAAAGGUGCACGCCGGAGGAGGGUGGGCAAUGUGAACUUUGACAUACCCAGUACGCCGCGCUCUAGGCAACAGUCCUCCACCAGCGUGGCGAUAAGCAAAUUGAUUUCUGAACACGCGUAAUCACAUUUCGAAAUUCUAUUUUAAUAGGGCAUUUAAAUAUACAUAUGUGGAUGCCGUCGUAGGAUUAUCAGUUAAGAGUGGUUUUCAUGACCUCGACGUCAGUGUUAUCGAAACCCAAAUACUCCCCAAUGCAAGUUGGUGUUAUUUUUCAUCCGACGAAAUCGGAAUCUUUAUGUGCCAUUUGACACAGUUGGACAGGCACUGGUUCACUUAUGCAAUCGAAUCGUCCGACGACCGCUAUCAGCAUUUCCAAGUGAUUUCCACAGAGUGGAGCCUCUAAUCUCGAUGAUGCCCUGCGAUCCUCCAUGCCCCUCCCUUUUCCCCCAAAACGGUCAUGUUAUGAGCACAUGAAUCCCAUCGUGGAACAAGAUGUGUAGUCUAUUCUUGAACCGCGCUGAACUUUGGGCUACAAAAUGCAACUAAUUCACAUUUCAUUUGUAUUUCGAUUAUAUUGAUUGCUGAUUAUUUCGACUAACCCAAAUCGGGCAAUUGUAUGAAAAUAUGAUCGAUAAUUUGUAUUAGAAAAUAAUCAUAUUAGCUUAAGACAAUAGUAAGAAUGUUUUAUAAUUUUAAUUUCUUUCUAUUAAAUAAAAUUCCUAACAAAUUUAGUGUUGCUUUAAUAUAAAAGAUUUCUUAAACUAAACUUUUGUUUUGCGUUCUACUGAACUUUGAUAAUGUAUACAUUUUUUGGCGUUCCGUUUAACUUUUAUUUUUAAGACUCUGACAUUUUGCCGAGUAGACAAUGUGAACCGACAAUCGGCGGCGUCGAAGACGUUCCUUUCCCUCUUAAAUGGCGCUCCUAAAUCUAUUUUCACCCUCCGUCCGGCCAUUUGUCCGUUUGUCCGCGAGUGUGUCUCCCGUGUCCGUCCGUUCGUCCGUCAAAUUGUCAGUCCGUCCGGAUUCGUUUGUGUCCACCUCUGUCUAGCCGUCAGUUUGCGGUGCGCUUUCAGUUUUAGCAUUUACUUCUAGCAUAGCUGGCAUUUUUGUAGCAAUUCGUGUCUAUAUGGUUUGUUUCCACCUCAUGCCUCUCCGACUUUCGCAUUCUAUAUUCUAUUCGAUGCUCUCUUUGUUAUGGGUCCCCGGGUCCGUAAAUGCCGCGUGCUCAUCACUCGCAGACACUUUAGAAUGCAGCCAGUAUCUUUGAGAUGCGAAAGAUGGACGGAGAUCUUAAGUGGCGUAAAAGCGAAAAACCGGAGUACGGCUGAUUCGGAAAGAUGUACGGAUUUUGAGAACAAGAUUUCACAAGGUUUUCCUUAAUCCGCUCUAUUCUGAAGUUAAA